CUGCCAAGAGUCAACGACUCUGGCCCCUACCUCCUCCCUCCCCCUGCCUCAAUCCUGCACAAUAGUACAUCCUGCCCGACCCCUCCCAUCCCUUGGCAAUCUCGAUCUAGGGCGAAGCACAGGUGAGCCGUCGAGUAGUCUCCAUGCCCACCUCUAAGAUCCCACCCCUCUCGACCUCUCUGAUCUCACCCCCGUCGAGCCGUCGCGCCUUCAUCCUCGGUAAACAUGUCCGUUUCAAAAUAGAUGACCCAACUUUGUAUUAAAUUUGUACUAACGUUAGUAUAAAGUUGAGUCAACGGAGGGAGUACGUGUUGGCGAAGGCAUCGAGAUGGAUCCCUCGCCAUGGUUCCAUUCUUAAGUUGUUGUUUCCAAGUGUGGGCCGAACUUCUGUUGAUGGCUUGAUGGCACGAAACCCUCAGAUGGCACUGGGCAAUACCUGCUCACUCCCUGUCUAUCGCCCCACCAGGUUCGCCUCCCCUUUUCUCAUUCCAGUCGAUGGUCAGCACCAUGGAAGCCAUCCCUCUCCGGAAAUUCCUGGACGCAGGCAGUGAAAACCACGUGUUACGAUCUUCCCUGGAGUACCCAUUGGCCGAUUCCUCGAUGACCAGAUACAAGCUUCAAGGAGGCUCUAGAGUCGCCACCCCUAUUGCUCCUCCCCGUCCUUCUGAAUUAUGCUUCACCACAUGUCAAAUUUGUUGUUGAUGUUCCAUAGUCAAUCAAGCCACUUCUCGUUACAUACUUGAAAGAGAUCGAGACACUAAAACUGUAUUGCUCUAAGGAAGUUAUUUAGCAAGGAGAGACACAGCUAAGCUCAUUUAAAUAACCAAAUAAGUUCUGUUCUCCACCAUGGCACCAUGAUGUUGCCUUUUACUGCAUGGAGCAGCUCCGAUUUCUUGCAAUGACCAUGGUAGUAGAGAUACCCAAGACAGGCAUGUCCUGUUUACUGCAUCUGUUAUGACUUCAGUACAUAUCAAAUUGAAUAUCUGCAUUUGUAAUUUUGUAUGUCUACUAGAAUUGUGCACAACUUGUUAGUGUUGCGUGAUAAUAACGGUUAAGGAUGGUGAAACUGACAAUUAUUAUGCAUCCUAAAAGGACAUUGACAUGCAUCCUUCCCAACAUUUCAGGUAAGAUUAUAAUACAUGUAGGUUCCAUAUGGCGCUUUUGUUAUUGCAACUGCACAUCAUUCAUUGUGCUAGCAGAAGCAAGUAUGCCUGAUCUUGUGGUUAAGAAGUCAUCAAUAUCUGUAUGAUUAGGUUAUUCAGCACAAUUCCUUGAGUAAAGGUACAGACCAGGAGUUCUUAACCAUUCACAAACCAUCAGCUGCCACAGAUGAUGCAUGAGCAUUGCAGUAACUAUGUUAAUUGUAAACUAACCUGCUAAUUCAGAAUCUACUUUUGGUCCAACAUCAUCAGCAAGGAUAAACAGAAUAUGAUUCUUUUUUGAGUUUUUUUAGGCAACACCUAAUCUGGAGUAUAAUAAAAAAUCAAUUGUUAAAGCUGCAAUACUAUAGUAUCUUAAUCACGCUUUUUAAGUAAAUUCAUUCAUGUCCGCCUCUUAUUAGAAAUUUCCAGAACAUUCGGCUCUUUAGAAGCUUUCUUACCAAAAAACGAAGGCCCUUCAUAAUCUACUACCUUGUAUAUGCUCACAUCACGUGCAUGUUUUUCUUCCUUUAAUUUUCAAAUGCUUAAGACUCAUCUGCGUAAGUAGUGUAGCCCUGUAGGUGUUGAACUAAUCAACUACUGUAAAUACCAAUGCAAGCAGGGUUGUAAGGAAGAUGAUAUAGAUUUUGAUCUGCUGAGAGGUCAUGCAAUGCUUCCCUAAUCCCAUUUCAGUCCCGAUUUACCUUGAAAACAUUGCAUGGAUUCUUGCACAUAAUAGCAACUUUAUUUCUUUAACUUCUUGCAGGUUCAUUACAUGUAACGUAUGUGCCAUGUUUAAACAAUCUUUGUCUUUUUGCUUGAUUUGAUGAAGAAGAAUGGCAAUUUCAUGGAUGAGUUGACACUCUUUUCUUUUGUUAUGAAUGACUUUAGUUGAUGCGUUGUACACAUCUUUGCGGGACUAUUGCAAGAAAUAGCAGAAUAAUCUAAGUCAAUGUCAUUCUAAGAUGACAUCAGAAACCAAAGAUGAAGCAUUUAUACAUAUACCUCUGAUUUUCUGAAAUAAAAGAAUAGUCAUUUUUUAUUCAAAUUUGAAAUUAGUAUGACGAGAUCAUGGAUCAGAGAUGCAUACAUGCAUGUGAAUUCUGCUUUGGAAGUUAGAUUCUACAAUUAUUUGACAUGUCAUGAAGUGUGUACUAUGCCACCCAGAAAAGCAAAGCUUCUAUCCAGCGCCUUUGGCAGAGUUGGUCAGUAUGUCGAUGUUUCGUCAAUUCAUGAAUUUAUAAUUCGUGUGGUUUCCUGCAUAUUCUUGUUCAGGUUACUGUCAUUACUCCACUAAGUGAAGGCUAGCCUUUGCUCCUUGAUCAAGGCUAUUAACAGUUAUAUGUGUUUUCUUAUUACGUCAAGACCUUAUUCAUUUGAAAGUAGCCAUAAGCUACAAAUGGACACGUACAUUGUAUGUAUGCAACUGAAAUGGGAAUAACAUGUCCUAGCUUAA